AGGUCAGUAGGUUGGUCAUGCCACUGGUAUGUACUGAUCUCACUGAUUCCUCCUUCCUGAUGAGCCGUAAUGCCAUUAAUUUGGUGUUGCGAGGAAUCUGGACUGUUACUUUGAAAAAAUUAGAGUGUUUAAAGCAGGCUAACGCUUGAAUACAUUAGCAUGGAAUAAUGAAAUAGGACGUUCGAUCCUAUUUUGUUGGUUUCUAGGAUUGACGUAAUGAUUAAUAGGGAUAGUUG
rnacentral:rRNA from 1 species